AUUGAGAGGCUUGGGUUGUUGCGGAGCCACAUGGGGUUACAAGUCUACCGCCAUUAGCGUCCGAGACGAUGAGGAAGAGGCACCAGAACAAGAGCAAGAAGAAAUAGAGGUCAUAAAUGCAGGACCGAAUCCAUCAGAAGUAAUUUCGGAUCCGGGUUGUCCGGCAACUACUUCGAUUCCGGCGUUUUCAGGUAUGAACUUAGCCGCAGCAUUGGCGGCCGAGCGGCAAUUACGGUAGGCAAAUGUUAUAGGUCCGAGCACCAAUGGGUCAAUAAACAAUGGGGAAGUGAGCGUAACAGCGCCGGGAAUCUUUGAUGAGGCUGCUAGGCGACGUGGACGGUGGAGAUGGAGGAGUAGGCGCAGAGAAUGAGAGAGGAUCAGCGGGGAGCGAUACAGUGUGCUGCGUAUGCAUGGUGAGCAAAAACGGAACAGCAUUUAUCCCAUGUGGGCAUACCUAUUGCAGGGUGUGUUCGAGGGAG
rnacentral:misc_RNA from 1 species